AAUAGAUACCCUGGUAGUCCACGCCGUAAACGAUGAGUGCUAAGUGUUAGAGGGUUUCCGCCCUUUAGUGCUGCAGCUAACGCAUUAAGCACUCCGCCCGGGGAGUACGGCCGCAAGGCUGAAACUCAAAGGAAUUGACGGGGGCCCGCACAAGCGGUGGAGCAUGUGGUUUAAUUCGAAGCAACGCGAAGAACCUUACCAGGUCUUGACAUCCUCUGCCAACCCUAGAGAUAGGGCGUUCCCCUUCGGGGGACAGAGUGGACAGGUGGUGCAUGGUUGUCGUCAGCUCGUGUCGUGAGAUGUUGGGUUAAGUCCCGCAACGAGCGCAACCCUUGAUCUUAGUUGCCAGCAUUCAGUUGGGCACUCUAAGGUGACUGCCGGUGACAAACCGGAGGAAGGUGGGGAUGACGUCAAAUCAUCAUGCCCCUUAUGACCUGGGCUACACACAUGCUACAAUGGAUGGUACAAAGAGCUGCGAACCCGCGAGGGUAAGCCAAUCUCAUAAAGCCAUUCUCAGUUCGGAUUG
rnacentral:rRNA from 1 species